AAACCCCAACUUUAUAUAACACAAGAGAGAAUGGUAAAUAGAAAAAAACCCUAACUUUAUAUAUAUAACACACAAAAACCCUCAUAAACGUAUAACUAAUUAACUAACCCCACCGCCAUGACCACCACCGUGCUCGAAAGCUGUGGGGUUGCGCCGCCGCCGGGCGCGGUGGCGGAUCAAUCGCUGCCGCUCACGUUCUUCGAUAUCACCUGGCUGCAUUUCCAACCCAUGCUCCAGCUCCUCUUCUACGAAUUUCCCUGCUCCAAGCCACAUUUCCUAGAAACAAUCGUUCCAAAACUCAAACAAUCUCUCUCGCUAUCUCUCAAGCACUUCUUCCCCCUCUCCGGCCACGUCGUCUACCCUUCGUCGCCGGAGGAGAUGCCGAUUUUCCGGUACCUCUCCGGCGACUCCGUUACUGUAACCGUCGCCGAAUCCAGCGACGAUUUAGACGAUCUCGUCGGAGACCUUCCGCAAUCGGCUGAUAAGCUUUACAGUUUCAUCCCUCGAUUGCCGCCGGUCGUCGAGGAAUCCGAUCGGAAACUGCUCAAGGUCCUCGCCGUGCAGGCGACUCUCUUCCCCGGGCGCGGCGUCUGCAUCGGGAUCACGACGCAUCACUGCGCCAACGACGCGCAGUCGUUCCAAGGGUUUUUGACGAGCUGGUCGGCGAUCAGUAGAGGAGAUGGCGAUGAGGAAUUCGUGAGCAAACAUGGCGAGUGCCUGCCGGUUUUCGAUCGAUCCUUGAUUAAUUACCCUCUGAAAUUGGACUCGAUUUACUGGAAAAAUGCUCAGAGAAUCCCCUUGCAGUCGCGCUACCCUUCCCUGCCGACGAACCGCGUUCGAUCGACCUACACUUUCACCCAAUCGGAGAUUAAGAAACUGAAGAAUUCGAUUCAGGAAAGGAUUCCAAAUUCAGCUCACCUCUCAUCUUUCGUCGCGAUCGCAGCUUAUAUCUGGACUACCAUGGCGAAAUCACUCAGAUCUGAAGCAGACAACAACAGCGAAGACGACGGCGACGCGUUUUUCUUUAUUCCUAUCGAUUUACGGCCGCGUUUGGAUCCGGCGGUUCCGGGGAGCUACUUCGGCAACUGCCUGUCCUUCGCGCUGCCGAGGAUCGGGCGGCGGGAGCUGGCCGGAGAGGAGGGGCUGUUUCUGGCAGCGGCGGCGGCGGCGGCGGCGAUAACGGAGAGGACGGGCGACAAGAAGAUUCUAGAGAGUGCGGAGAAAUGGUCGGGCGAGAUCAACAAGGCGUUGCAGGAGUCGUUCUUAUCGGUAGCCGGGUCGACCCGGCUGGAUCUAUACGGGGCGGAUUUCGGGUGGGGCAGGGCGAGGAAGCAGGAGAUAUUGACGAUUGAUGAGCAGAAAUAUGCGAUGACGCUUUGCAAAUCAAGGGAUUUUGUGGGAGGAUUCGAGGUUUGCUUGUCUUUGCCCAAGGACAAAAUGGAGGCUUUUCAUGCUUAUUUUGCCAAGGGAAUUAAUUAACCUUAAUAGUAUGUGUGUGCGUUUCUUAUUCGAAGGUCAGUGGGUGCUCUGUUUUAUAUGAAUUCUUGAUUUUAUUUUUUACCCUCUCUUGUGGAUUGGUUGAAAGCCACAUGCAUCUUUUGGUUUCUUGGAAUUCUGUUUUGUGUAAUAAGUUGAUUAAGUAGAAGUUUUAGAAGGUUGUCUAGUGGUAGUGGUAGUGGAUACAUAAUUCAGCGCAUUACAUGCUCUUUUUGUGUUGAUUAUUACAUCAUAAUGUGAUUUGGUUUUUGUUGGAAUUCUUGAUUACUUUUUUUUUUUUUGAAUCUAAAUAAUGUCAUUUACAUAUGUUUCAUGUGUCAUUUACUAUUUUUAUAUAUUUCAGGUCGAGCUGCGUGAGGCUGCCGUCGUUGCUUAAUCAGGAAAAAUGUAUUAGGUGUUUAUAGUGUUGAGCAAGAUUUCCUUCAACCUGCUACAAAAUUUAGUUUGUGGAGUGGUAGUUGAUAAAUAACACUUUAGAUAUAUGUAAAUGAUAUUAUUGACUUUUGUUAAUGCCACUAUAUAUUUAUGGAUUAUGAUGUGUACGUGUAUUCUAUUUUAUUUUGAAUGAAGAAAGUAUUCAUAA